rnacentral:rRNA from 1 species
AUUGAACGCUGGCGGAAUGCUUUACACAUGCAAGUCGAGCGGCAGCGCGGUCUUCGGACUGGCGGCGAGCGGCGAACGGGUGAGUAAUACAUCGGAACAUGCCCAGUCGUGGGGGAUAACACUUCGAAAGAAGUGCUAAUACCGCAUACGUCCUGAGGGAGAAAGCGGGGGAUCGCAAGACCUCGCGCGAUUGGAGUGGCCGAUGUCAGAUUAGCUAGUUGGUGGGGUAAAGGCCUACCAAGGCAACGAUCUGUGGCUGGUCUGAGAGGAUGAUCAGCCACACUGGGACUGGGACACGGCCCAGACUCCUACGGGAGGCAGCAGUGGGGAAUUUUGGACAAUGGGGGCAACCCUGAUCCAGCCAUUCCGCGUGAGUGAAGAAGGCCUUCGGGUUGUAAAGCUCUUUCGGCAGGAAUGAAACGGCGAGCUCUAACAUAGCUCGCUAAUGACGGUACCUGAAGAAGAAGCACCGGCUAACUACGUGCCAGCCGCCGCCGUAACAC